GAGAGAGAGAGAGAGAGAUGCCUCCCAGGUCUACAUGUGGAGCCCAUCCUCCAGAUGAGUGUGACUACUGGCUUGCCCCAUGCCUCUAUAACAGGCUCCUAAGGGAGUCUUCCUGCAGUAUCUCUCUUCAAGAUCAGCUCACCAGACCUUUUGUGAUCACUCAGGGUCAGUGGUCCAAACAAGAACAUGGCCUCCCGUGCGUCUCAGCAGUGGGGAACAGUCUGCAGUUCUCCUGUGCUAUGGCUUCUGUGACAUUUGUCUGAGAGAUGGGAUGAAGAUGCCGGCCCUGAAACCGACUAUAGUCGUGGAGUCCUAAUACUGGCAUGGCAUUCAGGGGCUUGCCAGUACUUCGUUCCUGACCCUCCGUGUCUACAUUCUACCUGAAGCGUCUCCCAGCUCUAACACACGUGGACCCCAUCCUCCAGGCUCAGAUAUGCAGACUAUCGGUCAUGUCAUGGGACAGCUCAGAGAGACACGGGGAUUGAGGAAUUGCAAGAAGCCCCGGCAGGGAAUGCGAACUGCCAGCAUGUGCUGACCAUCUGUGUCCUCGAAACAUUUGAAUGUGCCCCAAGGUUCAUGUCCUGGACAUGUAAUCCCUGCAGGAUUGGUAUCGAGAGGUGGAGCUCUCACAAGGCAGUCAGAUGCUGGGGUUGUAGCUCUAAAGGAGAAUGUUUGCCGAGCGUGUGUGAGACUCUGGGUUCCAUUGCCCGCAUCUCAAAAGAAGAACGAUGAUUAGGGUCACAGGGGCUCUGCCUCCUGAGUGGACCGAUAUCACUUUGAAGGGAUGGGGCUUAUCAUAAAUGCCUGUUGGCCUAGUCAGGUCACUAUGCUGUGACGAAAGACCACAGUCUAAAGCAAGCUGGGGAGGAGAGGGUUUAUUUGACUUACAUUUUCACAGAGAAGUCUGUCACUGAAAGAAGUCAGGGCUGGAACUCAAGCAGGCCUGAAACCUGGAGGCAGAAGCUGAUCAGAGGCCAUGGAGGGGUGCUGCCUGCUGAUGCUCCUCAAGGCUUGUUCAACCUGAUUUCCUAUAGAACCCUGGGCCCUCCUACACCAAUCACUAAUUAAGAAAUGCUUUUCAGUCAGAUCUUAUAGAGACGUUUUCUCGGUCGAGGUUCCUUCCUUUCAGAUGACUUCUGUCAAGCUGACAUAAAACUAGCCAGCCCAACGUUUUCUGCCUCCCUCUUGCAUGUGUGAGUGUGUAUGUGCAAUUCUAUGACGGUGUGCGUGCAUGUGAGUAUGCCUGCAUGUGCACCCAUGUCUCAGUCACUCGAUACCUUCUGAUUAAGGCAGGGUUUCUUACUGAAAUCACAGAGGCUGAGGCAAAGGGACCUCAGUGAUUGGCAGUUAAUGCAGAGACCCAGAAAUGGGCAAAGCACUAAGAACAAUGACUACUGGUUGCUCAGCACUGAGUGGGUCUCCUCUCCAUUUAUCCUUUUCCUAAGGCUCAGGAAACACCAGGGAGAGGGUGGAAAGAAGGAGGACAGCCUUUCUACAUAGUGAGUUUCAGGCUUGGGCUAAGAGUGAGACCCUGCUUCAAUGUCCCCCUUACAACAACAACAACAACAAAAACAGCAACAACAAACUACUUAGACGUAGUGUCUGCUGCUAAGCACGCAGUGCCAUAGGGCCAAGCUCAGCCAGUGAGCCCACCUCCUCUCAAGUUGUCCGCUGUCCCAUUAUGUAUGACCAUAGACUCUUCCCAACCCCUCCUCCCAACCUCCCCCUCCCCCACACAUGCAUUUAACUUCCUGCAACUCUAGUUCUCCAGUCAGCAUUGAGGGAGAUCAUCCAUUUUGAGAUGCCCCUGGGAAAACACAUUGAAAGCCAAAUGAAAGACUAAGGGGGAAGGGCUCUGCUCUUCCUCCCAUUCCAACAGAAGCAUCCGCAUCUCUGAAUCUUGGGGUGAAGAUGGUGGAGGAGCAGCCUCUAUAAGGGUUACAGCUCAGCUCAACUGUGGUAAUGAAGGAUCCCCUGAGCUUCGGAGGGUGGCUUGUGCUGACCAGAAUCUUGAGAAGAGAGUUUGACUGUGUUGGUCUUUAUUGCAUGUGUUCAGACGUAUGUGUGUGGGUUUCUUUGUGUGUGUGCACACAUGCACAUAUACAUGUACUUUUGUCCUCAUAAAGUUUCAUGGUGGAGAGGACAGACAUGACCUGAAGAGAUGGCCAGACCUGGGUGGUGGAUGGUCUUGAAGAGCGGGGAAGAGGUGGAGGCUGAAAGGCGUUCAGGGAGGAAGAGGUGUGAUCAGCGUGGUCUGUCAGGACACUGGCUGCUGUGUGAGCUUGGUCUGGUCUGGAAGGGAGAGGAGUUAUUCAUUUACCCAAAUUCACAGGUUCUCCACUUUGUGUGGCAGAGCACAUGCGUUCCAUUGAGAAGGUCAGACUGAUUCCAAGACAGGCUUCAAAUUGGCCGUUAAGAAGACUAGGCCUAAAUCUCUGUUUCCAAGAACUGGGCAAGUCCAGGCAAGUACACACCUCAGAAACUACCCUGCCACCCGGCCUGAGGCAAGGACAAUGGGUCGGCAGCAGUUUCCAGACUUCCUCAGCUUCUUCCUCAGCGACAGUUUCCAGACCUUUCCAGCAAGUUCCCAGUCACCACACCCUAGUAAUGGAAUGUCUAUAGAGAUGGGUCCAACAGAUUAACAUAGAGGUCACCUACCCUGGAAUUCUCUAAUGCACUUUAAAUCAGACCUGCAAGCUCACUUGGUUGUCUCUCUAUCUUGGUAAUGGGAGACCCCAGCGUGCUGGACUUCUGCAGAAUAAAACACUGCAUUUACAUACUAUUUGAGUCUGAGGUACCAUUCUUCGGCGAGUCAUGGACCCUUACAUCAUGUGCUGGAAAUAAGAUCAUCAAUGUAAAAUAGGAAAGUUUGUAACUUUGGUAAGCUUCCACUUUA